CCAAAGGUUUUAUUUGGAUCCGAUUAUCAAAAAGACUCCCCAAAACCACAAAAUUAUUAUUUUAAAAAUUAU
rfam:Hordeum vulgare subsp. vulgare, WGS project CAJW01000000 data, contig: morex_contig_68152